rnacentral:rRNA from 1 species
UACGAAGGGGGCUAGCGUUGCUCGGAAUUACUGGGCGUAAAGCGCACGUAGGCGGAUUGUUAAGUCGGGGGUGAAAUCCUGGAGCUCAACUCCAGAACUGCCUUCGAUACUGGCGAUCUCGAGUUCGGGAGAGGUGAGUGGAACUGCGAGUGUAGUGGUGAAAUUCGUAGAUAUUCGCAAGAACACCAGUGGCGAAGGCGGCUCACUGGCCCGAUACUGACGCUGAGGUGCGAAAGCGUGGGGAGCAAACAGG